rnacentral:rRNA from 1 species
AUUGAACGCUGGCGGAAUGCUUUACACAUGCAAGUCGAACGGCAGCACGGACUUCGGUCUGGUGGCGAGUGGCGAACGGGUGAGUAAUACAUCGGAACGUGCCCAGUCGUGGGGGAUAACGUAGCGAAAGCUACGCUAAUACCGCAUACGAUCUACGGAUGAAAGCGGGGGAUCGCAAUACCUCGCGCGAUUGGAGCGGCCGAUGGCAGAUUAGGUAGUUGGUAGGGUAAAGGCCUACCAAGCCGACGAUCUGUAGCUGGUCUGAGAAGAUGAUCAGCCACACUGGGACUGAGACACGGCCCAGACUCCUACGGGAGGCAGCAGUGGGGAAUUUUGGACAAUGGGCGCAAGCCUGAUCCAGCCAUUCCGCGUGCAGGAUGAAGGCCUUCGGGUUGUAAACUGCUUUUGUACAGAACGAAAAGGCUCUGGUUAAUACCUGGGGCUCAUGACGGUACUGUAAGAAUAAGCACCGGCUAACUACGUGCCAGCAGCCGCGGUAA